UACGUAGGGGGCUAGCGUUGUCCGGAAUCAUUGGGCGUAAAGAGCGUGUAGGCGGUCCGGUAAGUCCGCUGUGAAAGUCGGGGGCUCAACCCUCGAAUGCCGGUGGAUACUGUCGGGCUAGAGUGCGGAAGAGGCGAGUGGAAUUCCUGGUGUAGCGGUGAAAUGCGCAGAUAUCAGGAGGAACACCGGUGGCGAAGGCGGCUCUCUGGACGGUGACUGACGCUGAGACGCGAAGGCCAGGGGAGCAAACGGG
rnacentral:rRNA from 1 species